GAUGAACGCUGGCGGCGUGCCUAAUACAUGCAAGUCGAGCGAACAGACGAGGAGCUUGCUCCUCUGACGUUAGCGGCGGACGGGUGAGUAACACGUGGAUAACCUACCUAUAAGACUGGGAUAACUUCGGGAAACCGGAGCUAAUACCGGAUAAUAUAUUGAACCGCAUGGUUCAAUAGUGAAAGACGGUUUUGCUGUCACUUAUAGAUGGAUCCGCGCCGCAUUAGCUAGUUGGUAAGGUAACGGCUUACCAAGGCAACGAUGCGUAGCCGACCUGAGAGGGUGAUCGGCCACAGUGGAACUGAGACACGGUCCAGACUCCUACGGGAGGCAGCAGUAGGGAAUCUUCCGAAAUGGGCGAAAGCCUGACGGAGCAACGCCGCGUGAGUGAUGAAGGUCUUCGGAUCGUAAAACUCUGUUAUUAGGGAAGAACAAAUGUGUAAGUAACGAUGCACGUCUUGACGGUACCUAAUCAGAAAGCCACGGCUAACUACGU
rnacentral:rRNA from 1 species